GUGCUCACUUCGGCAGCACAUAAAUUAAAAUUGGAACGAUACAGAGAUUAGCAUGGCCCCUGCACAAGGAUGCCACGCAAAUUCGUGAAGCACUCCAUAUUUAA
rnacentral:snRNA from 1 species